rnacentral:rRNA from 1 species
GGGGAAUAUUGCACAAUGGGGGAAACCCUGAUGCAGCAACGCCGCGUGAAGGAUGAAGGUUUUCGGAUUGUAAACUUCUUUAGUCAGGGACGAAUAAAUGACGGUACCUGAAGAAUAAGCCACGGCUAACUACGUGCCAGCAGCCGCGGUAAUACGUAGGUGGCGAGCGUUGUCCGGAAUUACUGGGUGUAAAGCGCACGUAGGCGGGAAUGUAAGUCAGAUGUGAAAUCCCAGGGCUUAACCCCGGAACUGCCUUUGAAACUAGGUAACUAGAAUCCUGGAGAGGUGAGUGGAAUUCCGAGUGUAGAGGUGAAAUUCGUAGAUAUUCGGAAGAACACCAGUGGCGAAGGCGGCUCACUGGACAGGUAUUGACGCUGAGGUGCGAAAGCGUGGGGAGCAAACA